rnacentral:rRNA from 1 species
CUCGUGUUGUGAAAUGUUGGGUUAAGUCCCGCAACGAGCGCAACCCUUAUCCUUUGUUGCCAGCGGUCCGGCCGGGAACUCAAAGGAGACUGCCAGUGAUAAACUGGAGGAAGGUGGGGAUGACGUCAAGUCAUCAUGGCCCUUACGACCAGGGCUACACACGUGCUACAAUGGCGCAUACAAAGAGAAGCGACCUCGCGAGAGCAAGCGGACCUCAUAAAGUGCGUCGUAGUCCGGAUUGGAGUCUGCAACUCGACUCCAUGAAGUCGGAAUCGCUAGUAAUCGUGGAUCAGAAUGCCACGGUGAAUACGUUCCCGGGCCUUGUACACACCGCCCGUCACACCAUGGGAGUGGGUUGCAAAAGAAGUAGGUAGCUUAACCUUCGGGAGGGCGCUUACCACUUUGUGAUUCAUGACUGGGGUGAAGUCGUAACAAGGUAACCGUAGGGGAACCUGCGGUUGGAUCAC